GUAAUGGUUCCUUUGAUUUUGGGGAAAUAUAAAGCGGGUAACACUUAUAAUACAUGCUAGGAAUACAACGCAAUCCAUGGGAUAUGUUUAUGUUUCGUACAGGUGAGUAAAAUUUCGGAAUUAACCAGUUGGAUAUAGAUUUAAGACUGAUAAGCCGGAAACGUAUUAGGCAAUUAGAGCCAAUGAUGCGUAGCUGAGAAGCCACAUUUCCACUGAAACAAGGGGGAAACUCGAAUAGAGGCAGCAGUAGAGAAUAUUGUACAAUGUAUGAAAGUAUGAUACAGAGAUGUUACAAUAGUUUAAGAAGACUAUCAAAUUUAUGUGCCAGCAGAUGCGGUUAUACAUGAAGUCUAAGUUUUAAAAAAAGAAAGGCGUAAAGUGUGUAUAGGUGUAAGGGUCUAUAAAGGUAAAUAGAAUAAAUUAAGUAGUGGUGAAAUGCUUUAAUAUUAAUGAGAAUGCCAAAGGCGAAGGCAAUUUGCUAGUUAAGACUAACGCUGAAACACGAAAGUAAGGGAAGCGAACGGGAUUAGAGACCCCGGUAGUCCUUACUGUAAACUAUGAUUAAUAGAUUGUUAAUAAGAAUUAAUAAUCAAUGAAACUUAAGAAUUCCGCCUGAAGUCUACGAUCGCAAGAUUAACAUUCAAAAAAUUUGGCGGUUCACUAAUCCAAUUAGAGGAGCGUGUAGUUUAAUUCGAUGAUCCGCGGAUAACCUUACCAAGAUUUGAAUAUAGGGAAUAAAGAAUUUAUUACUUUUAGAUACAGGUAUUGCAUGGCCGUCGUCAGUUUGUGUUGUGAAAGGAAUAGAACGAACUUAACCCUUAAUUAAAGUUAUUUAAAUUAUAAAGGUUUAAUUUAAGGAUGACGUCAGGUCCUUAUGAUCUUAAUAUCUUGGGCGAUAUAUGCGCUACAGUCUUAUAUACAAAGGGUUUAAAAGUAAGCUUAAAAGUAGGAGUUCGAAGGGUUUUUUGAAAGAAAAAACUUGAAGUUGGAUUUAAUAGUAAUCGAAAAGUAGAGCGUUUCGGUGAAUAUGGCUCUAGUGUUCGUACAAAUCGCCCGUCACCUCCACUAAAUAAAUAAUUUAAAAGUAUUAUGUUAAAAUUAAAAGGAAAAAAUAAAUAAUUAGUAUAAUUUUAAAGUUUUAAUUUAAAGUUAAUAUAAAAAAAAGUUUAUAAGGUUGAGGAAGUCGUAACAUAGUGAAAGUAUUGGAAAAUGCUUUCGGAUUAAUGUACAU
rnacentral:rRNA from 1 species